rnacentral:rRNA from 1 species
UUGUCUCAAAGAUUAAGCCAUGCAUGUCUCAGUACAAGCCGAAUUAAGGUGAAACCGCGAAAGGCUCAUUAAAUCAGUUAUGGUUCCUUAGAUCGUACCACACUUACUUGGAUAACUGUGGUAAUUCUAGAGCUAAUACAUGCAAACAGAGCUCCGACCGGAGACGGAAGGAGCGCUUUUAUUAGAUCAAAACCAAUCGGCGUCGGGUUCGCCCGUCGUCGUACAACCUGGUGACUCUGAAUAACUUUAAGCUGAUCGCACGGUCUCGCACCGGCGACGCAUCUUUCAAAUGUCUGCCUUAUCAACUGUCGAUGGUAGGUUCUGCGCCUACCAUGGUUGUAACGGGUAACGGGGAAUCAGGGUUCGAUUCCGGAGAGGGAGCCUGAGAAACGGCUACCACAUCCAAGGAAGGCAGCAGGCGCGCAAAUUACCCACUCCCGGCACGGGGAGGUAGUGACGAAAAAUAACGAUACGGGACUCAUCCGAGGCCCCGUAAUCGGAAUGAGUACACUCUAAACCCUUUAACGAGGAUCAAUUGGAGGGCAAGUCUGGUGCCAGCAGCCGCGGUAAUUCCAGCUCCAAUAGCGUAUAUUAAAGUUGUUGCGGUUAAAAAGCUCGUAGUCGAAUUUGUGUCCCGCGCCGCCGGUUCAUCGUCCGCGGUGUUAACUGGCGUGUCGCGGGACGUCCUGCCGGUGGGCUUAGCUCUACGGGGCGGCCCAACUCAAUCCCGCCGCGGUGCUCUUCACUGAGUGUCGAGGUGGGCCGGCACGUUUACUUUGAACAAAUUAGAGUGCUUAAAGCAGGCUAAAACUUCGCCUGAAUACUGUGUGCAUGGAAUAAUGGAAUAGGACCUCGGUUCUAUUUUGUUGGUUUUCGGAACCCCGAGGUAAUGAUUAAUAGGAACGGAUGGGGGCAUUCGUAUUGCGACGUUAGAGGUGAAAUUCUUGGACCGUCGCAAGACGAACAGAAGCGAAAGCAUUUGCCAAAAACGCUUUCAUUGAUCAAGAACGAAAGUUAGAGGUUCGAAGGCGAUCAGAUACCGCCCUAGUUCUAACCAUAAACGAUGCCAGCUAGCGAUCCGCCGACGUUCCAUUAUAUGACUCGGCGGGCAGCUUCCGGGAAACCAAAGCUUUUGGGUUCCGGGGGAAGUAUGGUUGCAAAGCUGAAACUUAAAGGAAUUGACGGAAGGGCACCACCAGGAGUGGAGCCUGCGGCUUAAUUUGACUCAACACGGGAAACCUCACCAGGCCCGGACACCGGAAGGAUUGACAGAUUGAGAGCUCUUUCUUGAUUCGGUGGGUGGUGGUGCAUGGCCG